rnacentral:sRNA from 1 species
CCCUUUUACUACACCAUCUGGCUGGACAGCUUUACACCCUAGGGUUUCCUGGAAACCCUCUCAGGGAGUUGUUAGAACCAUGCUUCUGGAACGAGCCUGUGCCUGAAAUGCUGUGAGCUUUAAUCUCUGCCCACAUUGCGUUGGCUCCCUUGUUUCCCUGCAAAACAUUGCUGCCACCCUUUGGGCGCCUUUUCAGAGAGAGGUGGGGACAGCAAGCUGGAGCCUUGUCUAGCCAGCGUAGCGUGGUCUUCAAGGAAUUAUGAGAGAACCCAAGUAUGAGAAGAACAGAUGCAAAAGGAGACCAUGGGGAAGCUCAGGAGAUGGAGACACCUCGAAAAGCCAAUGGAAUCAGAAAAGCGAUGCUUACUUCUCAGAUAAGAACCACACAACCAGUCAGCUGCUCGUAUGAGCUCACAGCCUCUGGGGCAGCACACGCAAGCUUACGGCUUAUGCUAGCUGGCUGCCCUUCACCUACACAGAAAUGGAGCAAAUGCCCUUGAACUCCGUCCCACAGACACCACCAGUGUUUCAGUGAAGAGAUGGGGCUCCUCCCAGUGAUCCCUCCAAGGCAAGUGCUGUGCUUAGUCACCCUGGACUUCUCCCAUACAGUCCUGAUUAUGCCUUUGUUCACCCUGCGGUGCCUCCCAACCCAGAAAAAGAGAAACCCUGGCAGUGUAAACACUGAUCCUCCCACCAACAGAGAAGAGAGCGCUGUGGAC